AGCUUCGCACAGCGGCAGUAUCAUAGCCAAUAGGGUUUAUCCAAGGCGUGAUUAUUGCUAAGUGAAAACUUUCCCAGUACUCCACAUGAUGACGUGCAACAUAGUUGGCACUGACAAUUUUUGACAGUCUCUAUGGAGA